UUUUUAAUUGAGAUCUUGUAUGAAUGAUUGGACAAGAGAAAUACUGUCUUUAUAUUAAAACUUGAAUUUAACUUUUAAGUGAAAAGGCUUAAAUAUACUAAAGGGACGAUAAGACCCUAUAAAACUUUACAUUUACGUUAAAUUUUAUGGAAUUUGAAGAUUAUAAUUAUUAAAUUUAAUUUUUUNGUUAUGUUGGGGAGACAAGAGCUAUAAUUAUAUANNNUAACUGCUUUUAAGUAAAACAAAAAUAAGUGNGGNNGAGAUUAAAGAUCCUUUAUUGAGAUUGUAAGAUUAAGUUACUUUAGGGAUAACAGCGUUAUUUUUUUUGAGAGUUCAUAUUGAAAAAAAAGAUUGCGACCUCGAUGUUGAAUUAAAAUAUCUUUAUAAUGCAGGUGUUAUAAAAGAAGGUCUGUUCGACCUUUAAUUUU
rnacentral:rRNA from 1 species